UUUCACUCGGCACGUGGGCGAUGAAGUCAGACGAUUCAUCCCGAGUUAUCGCGAGAAAUUGACUCCUGUUAGGCAAUGCGUUAACUCGCGAUAACUCGGUCUGGUAUGAAUGAAUUAAUCGUACGAGACUUUACUACGUCUACGUAAUUCGGAUGCGAGAAAAUCAAGUGUAAAGUCGAGCAUGUAGGUCGUCGAGAUUCUUUGAAGGCGGGACGUUUCAUCAGAAGCUUCCUGAUUCACCGUUUUAACCCGUUGAAAGCGGUCCAAGGAAUUGGGAUUUAAAUAUCCGCCGGGUUAAAUAAUUAUUCGAUAGACUUUCAACCGAUUUUUAACGAGGACAAGCGCAUGACUUUAAUCAUCAGUAAUCAUGUACAAUCAUGUACACAUGUAGUUUUCGCAAGGAAUUGACUCACAAUUACGUCCGUGCGUGAAGUAACACGGAAGAACUCAUUGCCAGGGCGUUAAAGAGGAAAAUUAGCAUGAAUAUCAGUCUCGCUGGGGCAUCCUUUGUUCCUUCCUCGAGGCCCGGGAAGAACUUCUCUCCCAGCCUCCAGUAUUCAAUUAUCUCUGACGGAUCUCGAGGAACGCCCAUCUCUCGAGGUGCCUUUACUACCUGACUUUCCGACACUCUCCUGCAAAAAGGGAGGCCGACGGAUUUUAACGCCCUGGCAGUUUUUGGAAGGACGAGUUUUGGGACACCUGUUCCCUCGGGACUUCCUCCAGAAUUCUGAAAUAAAGGACAUAUCAAUCCGGGAAACCCAGGAUAAAAAUCACUGGAAGCUUUUCAUCAUUUAAGGCGAGAUAUAGCGACUUUACGAAUGAAGUUAAUUCCAAAAUUCAAGGUGAGAGGCAGCGGACCAAUCAGGAGCGAGAUCCGCGGCGGCGGACCAAUCAGAGUGCAG